rnacentral:lncRNA from 1 species
CAAUUCAUGAAUUCAGUGAUAUACUAUAUCAACAAAAAAAAUAAACAGUCAAAUCCAUAGUUUAAUUAUUGUGAAAAAAUGAGACUUUUCUAUAUUAUGCAUUUAGUAAAUUUCAUUUUUGAAUUUUGUAAUGUUUGAAUGCAGCAUUUCCUGGAAUUGCACUGAUAUUGAAUCAAAUGAAUAUUUGCGUCACAAAAGUAAGAGUGUAUCCAACAUAAUUUAUGGCAACACAUUUUAAUUCUGUGAAAAAUGCAAACCAAUUCAACAUUUUGGUCUAGAAAAAUUUAAGAAAUAAUAAAAAUUAAAGAAAUAAAAUUAGGGGUGUAGCAUUGUACUGUUAAGUCACAUGGACAGCAGUUGGAAUUAUAUAGUAUGUUUUAUGUGACAUAUGGAUUAGACUGAAUUAUGUACCUUUUAAAAAAUUAAAUAUUAUUUUCCUUGAUUUUCAAAGGCAAAUAGGUUUCUAUUAUAUAUGGUUUUACUGAUAAUUAGGGAAUGACUGUAAU